rnacentral:rRNA from 1 species
UACGAAGGGGGCUAGCGUUGCUCGGAAUCACUGGGCGUAAAGCGCACGUAGGCGGAUUGCUAAGUCAGGGGUGAAAUCCUGGAGCUCAACUCCAGAACUGCCUUUGAUACUGGCGACCUUGAGUCCGGGAGAGGUAAGUGGAACUGCGAGUGUAGAGGUGAAAUUCGUAGAUAUUCGCAAGAACACCAGUGGCGAAGGCGGCUCACUGGCCCGGUACUGACGCUGAGGUGCGAAAGCGUGGGGAGCAAACAGG